rnacentral:rRNA from 1 species
AGUGAACGCUGGCGGUAGGCCUAACACAUGCAAGUCGAACGGCAGCACAGUAAGAGCUUGCUCUUACGGGUGGCGAGUGGCGGACGGGUGAGGAAUACAUCGGAAUCUACUUUUUCGUGGGGGAUAACGUAGGGAAACUUACGCUAAUACCGCAUACUACCUACGGGUGAAAGCAGAGGAUCUUCGGACCUUGCGCGAUUGAAUGAGCCGAUGUCGGAUUAGCUAGUUGGCUGGGUAAAGGCCCACCAAGGCGACGAUCCGUAGCUGGUCUGAGAGGAUGAUCAGCCACACUGGAACUGAGACACGGUCCAGACUCCUACGGGAGGCAGCAGUGGGGAAUAUUCGACAAUGGGCGCAAGCCUGAUCCAGCCAUACCGCGUGGGUGAAGAAGGCCUUCGGGUUGUAAAGCCCUUUUGUUGGGAAAGAAAAGCAGCAGGUUAAUACGCCGCUGUUCUGACGGUACCCAAAGAAUAAGCACCGGCUAACUUCGUG